AAGCUCGUAGUUGAAUUUCGGGAUUGACGUGAUGGUCAUGCCUUAAGGGGUAUGAACUGUUACUGUUGAUUUCUCACCUUCUGGAGAAACUUGAUGUCCUUUAUUGGGUGUCUUGCGGAUCCAGGACCUUUACCUUGAAAAAAUUAGAGUGUUUAAAGCAGGCAUUUUUGCUCGAAUACAUUAGCAUGGAAUAAUAGAAUAGGACGGCAUGGUUCUAUUUGUUGGUUCCUAGGAUCACCGUAAUGAUUAAUAGGGAUAGUUGGG
rnacentral:rRNA from 1 species